rnacentral:lncRNA from 1 species
ACCAAGUAACCAACGGGAAACCUCUAGAGAGUAUUUAAGCCCCAGAAAAUUCUGUAACCAAUGCUCUUCAGCCACUUGCUCAAGCGUGUUCCCACUCUGUGGCAUGUACUCUGAAAUCUGUGUUUUCAUUGCUUCACUUUUUCAUUGCUUUGUUUGUGCAUUUUUUCCAAUUCUUUGUUCAAAAUACCAAGAGCCUGGAUGACUUGUAGUCAAGACCCUCCACUGGUGACAUAUUUUGGUGAGUGAGCCAGGAGAUUACUAUGAGAAACAUUGCAUCUAUUCCACCUCACUCCCCACUUGGCUGCAUCCUCAACCACUGGAAUCAAUUUGACCCUGAUAACCUAAGGAGGAAACACUUGAUAUUCUUUUGAAAUAUUGUUUGGCCCCAAUAUUGUUUGGAAUCUGGAGUUUGCUGUUGAAUGGGAAAGUGGGAAGGAGUUGCAUGUAUACAGGCUUUUGUACUGCUUUUCUAAUCAGGGUCUGGCCUGGUUAGCAUGUGACACUCUCCUUUGGUGCUGUUUGGCCUGAAUGUUCUUUGGAGUUUAAAAAUCAAACUGUCAUGGAAACUGCUUUACCCAAAAUUUUGGUUCACAGCCUUCAUUGGGUUACCCACUGGGACAAGCAAAUUGUAACCAUGUAAAACCAGUGAGUUUGUCUUGCUAUCUCAUGGCUAGAGUUCCAAGGUAAAGGCUAUUGGAUCUUUGUUUGUGUGUGUAUAUAUGACUAGAUGUGUUUAUUUGCAUGUACACUUAUUGUUAUACGUUGUGCCUACCAAAUUGGCUUAUAACUAAAAGAGCACUCAAUAAGUAAAUAAGUCUAAGCAAUUUUCAAGUUCAUGUGAAUUAAGUAUAACUUUUUAUUAAACAAGCUGGCUAUAAAAUUAUUGGUAAAAUUAAAAAAGAAAUGUCUUUAGAAUUGUCAGCAUAUAUUUUUGUCUAGGUUUAAUAUUUGCCUUUGCUAGAUACUGUGAGAUGUCAUUGUUUGGCAUAGAAGGUUAUAAAGCUAUUAACCCAGCGAAAACAAAAUCAUCUUGGUUUGCGUGCCUUCUUUGACAAAUGAGACUAAUUUAAUGUUGUUAGCUGAGUCUUCUGAGUUAUUGGCAAAAAUACCUAUGUAUUUACUUUUGAGGCUUUUAUUUAGGUGAGCAUGUGAUGGUCACUGGCUAUUUAAAAAAAUUGUUAACAAGGAAAUAAGAAACCUUAAAUGAUAGUGUUUCAUAUCUCAGUUUCCAAAAGUAAUCUAGAUAAACUGUUAAAAUGAAAAAAUGAGUACAUGUAAAUGGGAUAAAUGUUUAAAAUAAAUUUUUUUGUAAUUUAAAAUCUUA